UUUUUUUUUUUUUUUUUUUUCCCUCCAGAUGGGAAAAUGAGACAUUUUCUCUGCACAUCCAAGGCGGGCACACGAUGUGAUUCUUGAACUCGAUGGUCCUGAUGAGUCCCUUCCAACUCAGCAUAUUUGUGAUUCUAAGAACAUGGAAAACCUAGGGAAAGAUAUUCCAGGGCAUCUCACUUUGGAUUGGGCAUUGACUGCAGCACUCAGAAGUUAACCACACAGCUAAUAAAAGAAUGUGCAGCAAUUCAUUUUUAAUGAUCGUUUCCUGGGUGUGGCAAGUGGUUUUGUCACUUUAAAUUCUUAUGCAAAUAAAAUCAGGCUAAUCUUCUUAAAUAGGUAGCUGUAGCUGUGUCAGCCUAUUCUGAGCUGGCAGGAGUGCUGCAUAAUGCUUGGAAUUCUCUAAAUUGUUCAUGUCAGUGGGAUAUCAACUAUCAGCACAAUAAUAAUGAUAAUAGGCAUGUGUUUGCUUGCAUAGAAGUUAUUGCAUAAUUAAAAGCCUCAUUAAGGGUUUUCAGUACCUCAGAAGAAUGCCCCUAACUUUCUGGUUGUUUUCAUCCUAUUAAUACUAACAUCACACAAGCCACUCCCCAGGCGACUUGUUUUGAUCACUGGUUAGCUGGGAAAUUCAUAUGCAGCAACAUAUCUGAAAUUAAUUAACAGUGCAAUUAUGGCCAAAGUGUUUUCAUGAAAAGGGAGAAGUGCCUGCUUAUGAGACUGCCAUCUCUCCAAAGUGAUGCUCUCUCAUUCUGGCUUUCUUGGAUGGAGUGACCCUGCCCCUAAUCUAAUUCCAGUCAUCCCACAUAAGUGGUAUGGGAACAGUAAUUGUUAAAUAUAAACUUUCUAGUAUUUUCAAUUCCACUAAAGAAAGUAAACAGUAUCAACACUGCCCCACCCCAGCAACGCAGGAAACCAAAUGACAGUGCUGUGGUACCCAGGAAAGGUCACCCACAUCCACAACUCCAGGGCAUCACAAUCGAAAGCAUCCUGCAGGCUGACAAGUACCAGGGAGCAUCCAUAUCCCAGUACUCAUCACAAAAUGCUCCAUCACCCAAAACAAUCUGAAAACUUGCUUCUCCACAGGGAAAGAACCAAGAGAGAGUUCUAGCAUGCCCAGAUUUCCAAAUUGGACACUUACAGGGACUCUCUGUUAGGUGGAGAUGCCCACACCACAGGGCAAUCUGAAGGAUGCUGAGAGCCCUGAGGAUGCCUUGUGCUCAGGGGCCCAAAGUGGCUGCAGUCACUCUCUGAGUGACCUGAGACCUGCAGGGUUGGAUCUACAAUUCCACCUGUGGACCUAAAGCCUGGGUCAUUAGCAUUUCUUAAGAUGGCAGUAGAUAAUACAGGAAGCCAACCACAACCCACACUGAGAAGCAAGGGAAACAAAAACAACACAGUCGUUCCUGCCAAUGUGACCUAGGGCAAAAUUCCUUCCUGACCGUAGAUCUGGAUUGGUUUAACCCAACUAUGUGAGCCACACCUGCCCACAGGUACUUGAGAAAUUUUCCAAUACCACUACAAGCAUAAGCAUGCUUGUCCAGCCUCCUAUUUUUUUUCAGCCAGGGCAGUGCCGGUACUUCAAAAGUGAAAUUAAACUUUAAGGUGUGGGUGAUAAAUCAUAGAAGAGUGUUUCUUCCUAGUCCUCAGGCAGCCAGCAGAGCAUGAAGUCUGUGACUGACUCUAGCUACAGUUCAGAAAAUGGCAUCUGAGUCACCUUCAAACUCUUUUUGCUCUUCCUUAUUACAUGUUUGAGAAUAACAACAUAUCAACCCCAGCAUCAGCUGUGUAGGUGAAAGCAACACCAAUGGCACAAAAUCCUCAAAAGAGUCUUCAGCACAAAUACUUCUAGUAAAAAAAUCAUCAACCACACAAAUACUUCUGGCAAAAAGUAUCAGCCUACCUGUGCUUUUACCCCUCUUUGGAAUGGUAGGCAACUCCCUUUUUUCCUCUGAAAUUAGAAUGGGUCUAUGGAUUUUAGCAUAAAACAGUACAAAGCAGACAAGGAAAUCACAGCACUUGGUGAAAACUGGAAGGUCUGCGUUCUGCAUUUUAACCCUGACAAGCUGUAUUACAAAGAAAAGAAAACUGGCUACACCUUUGUUUUUAAACUCCUGUUCUGACAGCCUAAGAUAAGGUCAGGGCUGGAAGUAAGAGCAAGGCUGGGGAAAGAAUUAUGGUUAAGGAUAAAGACACCCACAACUUAAGAAGUGAGGCAAAAUGAGCAUGUGCAGUCCUUUUUAGGUUAUCCUGAAUCCUGGUAAUCUUGAAUACACAAAAGAGUGACCAGCAAAUAAAAAUUGGAUCAUAUUAUUUAUGAAGCCAUAAUUUUCACAUCUUGCAAAGCUGUUUGUGUGUUACAGCAAUAGGCAGGAAAAGCAGAACCUGAUCAGUGCAAGGUGGGCUGGGGACCAGCUUCACCUUGAUUGUUACAAGCAAGGUGUGAGGUGUUUGGCCUCACUUCCACCCUGGGCAUAGACUUGCUGCAGGAACUCUGCCAAAUCCCUUGUCCAGGCUUCUGCUUCCCCCUCACCUUUGGUCUGGUGUUAUUUAGCCUGAAAGCCUGGGAACAGGGAACAGGCACGUUUUUCAAUAGAGUGUUUUCUUCAGUGCCUGGCAUGACAGAGGCUGAUUUCACAAGACUUUUCAUCCUACAGAAAAGAGACAAAAGCUGCACUAAAGGAAUGUUGUUUACACCAUGAUUAUCUGUAACACCGUGGUCCAGCAAUAAAAAAAAUUAAAAAAAAAAAAAAAG
rnacentral:lncRNA from 1 species